AGUGGGGAAUUUUGCCCAUGGGCGCAACCCUGAUGCAGCCAUCCCGCGUGUAUGAAGAAGGCCUUCGGGUUGUAAAGUACUUUCAGCAGUGAGGAAGGGGGUAUCGUUAAUAGCGGUAUUCUUUGACGUUAGCUGCAGAAGAAGCACCGGCUAACUCCGUGCCAGCAGCCGCGGUAAUACGGAGGGUGCGAGCGUUAAUCGGAAUUACUGGGCGUAAAGCGCAUGCAGGUGGUUUGUUAAGUCAGAUGUGAAAGCCCGGGGCUCAACCUCGGAAUUGCAUUUGAAACUGGCAGGCUAGAGUACUGUAGAGGGGGGUAGAAUUUCAGGUGUAGCGGUGAAAUGCGUAGAGAUCUGAAGGAAUACCGGUGGCGAAGGCGGCCCCCUGGACAGAUACUGACACUCAGAUGCGAAAGCGUGGGGAGCAAACAGGAUUAGAUACCCUGGUAGUCCACGCCGUAAACGAUGUCUACUUGGAGGUUGUGGCCCUGAGCCGUGGCUUUCGGAGCUAACGCGUUAAGUAGACCGCCUGGGGAGUACGGUCGCAAGAUUAAAACUCAAAUGAAUUGACGGGGGCCCGCACAAGCGGUGGAGCAUGUGGUUUAAUUCGAUGCAACGCGAAGAACCUUACCUACUCUUGACAUCCAGAGAACUUAGCAGAGAUGCUUUGGUGCCUUCGGGAACUCUGAGACAGGUGCUGCAUGGCUGUCGUCAGCUCGUGUUGUGAAAUGUUGGGUUAAGUCCCGCAACGAGCGCAACCCUUAUCCUUGUUUGCCAGCGAGUAAUGUCGGGAACUCCAGGGAGACUGCCGGUGAUAAACCGGAGGAAGGUGGGGACGACGUCAAGUCAUCAUGGCCCUUACGAGUAGGGCUACACACGUGCUACAAUGGCGCAUACAGAGGGCAGCCAACUUGCGAAAGUGAGCGAAUCCCAAAAAGUGCGUCGUAGUCCGGAUUGGAGUCUGCAACUCGACUCCAUGAAGUCGGAAUCGCUAGUAAUCGUGGAUCAGAAUGCCACGGUGAAUACGUUCCCGGGCCUUGUACACACCGCCCGUCACACCAUGGGAGUGGGCUGCAAAAGAAGCAGGUAGUUUA
rnacentral:rRNA from 1 species